AUAAAGGAUUUGAAGACUUAAACUUGUAGACUUAAAGAAUUUGAAGAAUCCAACUUGCAGACUUAAAGAAUUUGAAGACUUCAAUU
rnacentral:pre_miRNA from 1 species